rnacentral:rRNA from 1 species
UACGUAGGGACCAAGCGUUGUUCGGAUUUCCUGGGCGUAAAGGGCGCGUAGGCGGCAUGACAAGUCACUUGUGAAAUCUCCGGGCUUAACUCGGAACGGUCAAGUGAUACUGUCGCGCUAGAGUGCGGAAGGGGCAAUCAGAAUUCUUGGUGUAGCGGUGAAAUGCGUAGAUAUCAAGAGGAAUACCUGAGGUGAAGACGGGUUGCUAGGCCGACACUGACGCUGAAGCGCGAAAGCCAGGGGAGCAAACGGG